GACGAACGCUGGCGGCGUGCUUAACACAUGCAAGUCGAGCGGUAAGGCCCUUCGGGGUACACGAGCGGCGAACGGGUGAGUAACACGUGGGUGACCUGCCUCUAGCUCUGGGAUAAGCCUGGGAAACUGGGUCUAAUACCGGAUAUGACUCCACGGCGCAUGUUGUGGGGUGGAAAGCCUUGUGUGGCUAGAGAUGGGCCCGCGGCCUAUCAGCUUGUUGGUGGGGUGAUGGCCUACCAAGGCGACGACGGGUAGCCGGCCUGAGAGGGCGACCGGCCACACUGGGACUGAGACACGGCCCAGACUCCUACGGGAGGCAGCAGUGGGGAAUCUUGCGCAAUGGGCGAAAGCCUGACGCAGCGACGCCGCGUGAGGGAU
rnacentral:rRNA from 1 species